UACCAGCACCCCGAGUGGUCGGGACGUUUAUUGGGCCUAAAGCAUCCGUAGCCGGUUCUACAAGUCUUCCGUUAAAUCCAGCUGCUUAACAGAUGGGCUGCGGAAGAUACUAUGGAGCUAGGAGGCGGGAGAGGCAAGCGGUACUCGAUGGGUAGGGGUAAAAUCCGUUGAUCCAUUGAAGACCACCAGUGGCGAAGGCGGCUUGCCGAACGCGCUCGACGGUGAGGGAUGAAAGCUGGGGGAGCAAACCGG
rnacentral:rRNA from 1 species